AGCUAAUAGAUACCCGGGUAGUCCUGGCAGUAAACGGUGCGCGUUUGGUGUGGGAGGAAUCGACCCCUUCCGUGCCGGAGCUAAACGCGUUAAAAACGCGCCGCCUGGGGGAGUACGGUCGCAAGAUUAAAACUACAAAGAAAAUUAGACGGGGGCCCGGCACAAGCGGUGGAGUAUGUGGCUUAAUUCGAUGCAACGCGAAAGAACCUUACCGUGGGCGUUGACAUGCAUCACUAAGUUGGUGAAAGCCAGCGAGUACAGCAAUGUACUAUUUUGUCACAGGUGCUGCAUGGCUGUCGCCAGCUCGUGUCGUGAGAUGUUGGGUUAAGUCCCGCAACGAGCGCAACCCUUGUGGCCUGUUGCUACCGAGCUUUGCUCGAGCACUCUGGCCAGACUGCCCUGUGAAACGGGGAGGAAGGUGAGGAUGACGUCAAGUCAGCAUGGUCCCUUACGCCCAGGGCUGCACACGUACUACAAUGCACAUACAGAAGGAGCCGAGACCGCGAGGUGGAGGAAAUCCAG
rnacentral:rRNA from 1 species